GCCGGUAUAGCUCAGCUGGUAGAGCAACCGCCUUGUAAGCGGUAGGUCGGGGGUUCAAGUCCCUCUGCCGGCACCA
rnacentral:tRNA from 1 species